AUUGAACGCUGGCGGCAUGCCUUACACAUGCAAGUCGAACGGCAGCACGGGUGCUUGCACCUGGUGGCGAGUGGCGAACGGGUGAGUAAUACAUCGGAACGUACCUUAUCGUGGGGGAUAACGCAGCGAAAGCUGUGCUAAUACCGCAUACGCCCUGAGGGGGAAAGCGGGGGAUCGAAAGACCUCGCGCGAUUAGAGCGGCCGAUGCCUGAUUAGCUAGUUGGUGGGGUAAAGGCCUACCAAGGCUACGAUCUGUAGUUGGUCUGAGAGGACGACCAGCCACACUGGAACUGAGACACGGUCCAGACUCCUACGGGAGGCAGCAGUGGGGAAUAUUGGACAAUGGGCGAAAGCCUGAUCCAGCCAUGCCGCGUGAGUGAAGAAGGCCUCGGUGUAAGACUCUUUCGGUCUGGGAAGGAAAUACGCACAGGCUAAUAACUCUGUGUGGAUGACGGUACCAGCACAAGAAG
rnacentral:rRNA from 1 species